AUUCAUCGCUUGUGGGCCUAUAGCUCAACGGUUAGAGCAGGGGACUCAUCGAAAGGUGCCGCCAGGCAGGAAUGCUUGGACGGGAACGGGAUGAAUUCAGGGAAACCUCAGCGGCGCGCAACGCGGCCGGUGGCAACCCUGAGCCAAGCCGGCGGUACACCGUCGGAAGGUGCAGAGACUACCUGAGGGCUUCAGCGCCCUUGAUCACAGGCUCGAGCGUCCCGCACCCCACCAGCCGCAGGCGAAGGGUGAAGAGAUAGUCCGCGCCGGAGGGAAACCUUCGG
rnacentral:ncRNA from 1 species